CUCGCACUGGCGCGCCCAGGUGUUGCCCCCGGGGGCGUUCUCCCCGGGCCCGCACGCGUCUGUACGGCGGCCGUGGCGUGUGCGCCCAGGGUUUAUUUGCACGCUCGCCCAGAUGUUGGAUGCCCUUACUGAUGGCAGUAAGCCAAGUAAGUCCAGAUCUUAAACAUAAACAUCCAGCUUUGCAGGUACGCGAAGUUACACAUGCUUCCCGAGACCUAAAAGAUGCACAUACUUGUCAAAACUCUUAAGGUUUUUCUGGAGCUGUAAAUCUACAUAUCCCGACGUUUCACGCACAGCCAAGCCGUGAUACGCUUGCCCAGAUGCGCGUUUUACCCUAACCUGGCGCUCAAGCUUCCUUCUUAAAUAUCCUGCCCCAACAUUGUGCGUAUCGGGGAGCUGUGGCAGCUCCACACUAGCCUUAAACAGGUUUUCUCGGAUCUUAUAUUCAGGUACCCGGACUCGGAACACCUCCCUAAACUUAAACAUCAUCCUUCACUCCAUUGCCUUCUCCGUUCCUUAGCGUUCAUGUCUGCUUGUUCAGAAGCGCCUCCUGGGUCCUUAAACGUACAUCUUAAAGCUUUCAUUCUUCUUCCAGCAAGGUGCUCGGGUCUUCGGGGCCCUGGGUCCCAUCGGGCCCUCCUCGCCCGGGCUCGCCCUCGGGGGCCUGGCCGUGGGUGAGCACCGGCUCAGCAACAAGCUGCUGGCCUGGAGCGGCGUCCUCGAGUGGCAGGAGAAGCGCAGGCCCUACUCGGACUCCACGGCGAAGCUGAAGCGGGCCCUCCCCUGCCAGGCCUACGUGAACCAGGGCGAGAACCUGGAGACCGACCAGUGGCCGCAGAAGCUGAUCAUGCAGCUGAUCCCGCAGCAGCUGCUGACCACCCUGGGCCCCCUGUUCCGCAACUCCCAGCUGGCGCAGUUCCACUUCACCAACAGAGACUGCGACUCUCUCAAGGGCCUCUGCCGCGUCAUGGGCAACGGCUUUGCGGGCUGCAUGCUCUUCCCCCACAUCUCCCCCUGCGAGGUGCGCGUGCUCAUGCUCCUGUACUCGUCCAAGAAGAAGAUCUUCAUGGGCCUCAUCCCCUACGACCAGAGCGGCUUCGUCAAUGCCAUCCGGCAGGUCAUCACCACCCGCAAACAGGCAGUGGGACCUGGUGGCGUCGCGGGCCCUGUCCAGAUGGUCAACAACAAGUUCCUGGCAUGGAGUGGAGUCAUGGAGUGGCAGGAGCCCAGGCCUGAGCCUAACAGUCGGUCUAAGAGGUGGCUGCCGUCGCACAUCUACGUGAACCAAGGGGAGAUCCUGAGGACCGAGCAGUGGCCGCGGAAGCUGUAUAUGCAGCUCAUCCCGCAGCAGCUGCUGACCACCCUGGUGCCGCUCUUCCGGAACUCCCGCCUGGUGCAGUUCCACUUCACCAAGGACCUGGAGACGCUGAAGAGCCUGUGCCGGAUCAUGGACAACGGCUUUGCCGGCUGCGUGCACUUUUCCUACAAGGCCUCGUGCGAGAUCCGCGUGCUCAUGCUUCUGUACUCCUCUGAGAAGAAGAUCUUCAUCGGCCUCAUCCCCCACGACCAGAGCAACUUCGUCAACGGCAUCCGGCGCGUCAUCGCCAAUCAGCAGCAGGUCCUGCAGCGGAACCUGGAGCAGGAGCAGCAGCAGCGUGGGAUGGGGGGGUAGGGGCCACCCCGCCGGGCUGGGCCUCUCCAGGAGCCACAGACGAGGCCCCGCCGAGACUGGUCAGAUGCUUCUGAGCAGAGGCCUGUGGGGACUGCAACUGCCCAGUGAGAUGGAGGACAGCGUCCUGAGAUAUCUCCAAGGACAGUCCCCACCCUUGUACGUUUCCCCAAUAAAACCUUUUAAAAGCC